GAAUGGAAACUGGAAGGGCAUCAAAGUUCUCACCAGAAACCCUGAACGGAAUACCAUGGAGAAAUAGAAAUGCCUUCAGGAUCUGGAGGUAAAUGAUUUUAUACCAAACAAUCAGCCAAAGGUGAAGGGAAAAUAAAAACACUUUCAGACAGGCAAGAGUCAAAACUCAGAAUCAUGAAAGAAGAAGCCACAGCCUCUGGAUUAGGGACCCCAGCCCAAGAAAAGGGCAAAGGGGGUCUCAGAGCAGACCGGAGAGGAGGAAGCCAGACCGAGCCCACCUGGACAGAAGGGGGGACCGGGCGAGAAGAGCCCGUAGAGGGAGUGGCCUGUGUGAAUAAUGACAGACAUUGCCAGACCUCUGGCAGAUCCUGCAAAGAGACCGGGACAAAUCGCAACCACUUAGGGCGGGCAGCACUGACGCCCUUAAUCCUAGUGCCCUGGGCCCUAGCCCCACCAUGAGCCAAUCAGACGCUGUAGAUUCAGCCACCUCCGAGAAAGCAUGAAGCUUUGGGGGACAUCUAGACGCAGCCCUAAUGAGUAAGAAAGGGUCUUGCUAUGCAUUCCAGGCUGGCCUUGAAUUCAUGGCAUUCCUCCUGCCUCAGCCUCCCCAGCGCUGGGAAUACAGCUGACUUGCUGUUGGAGGAGGGGCCUGGACAGAAGAGGCGGCUCCCUGUGUGUGCCCAGGAAAGGUUCUACCUCCCUCCGGCUCCUUGCUCAACACCCUCUGCUUCCUGGAUACCUUGAUUCGAGCAGCUGUUCCCCUGCCAGGGCCCUCUUCCAUGCUGUCCUGCCUUGGAGCCAACGGACUACAGACUGAAACCUCUACAAACAUAAGCCAAAAUAAACCUCUGCUCCCACUAGUUGUAGGUGUUGGAUAUGAGAAAGUACUGAAGACACUAGCACGGUGCAAAGCACUCAGUACAUCAAUACAUGCCCACUGAGGUGGUGGCUGAUUGGCGGGACCCUGGGCAAAGGCCUCUGGACGGCUGGAAGGUGAGGCAGAGGGAGCUCCUGCUCCCCCAGAUACACACGGGGCAGGCAGGGGAGGCUGUGCCAAACGCAGCUGUCCCGGGCUUAGUCUGCUUUCUGUUGCUAUCACAAAAUACCUGAGACCAGGUAAUUUAUAAAGAAUGGAAGUUUAUUUGGCUCACAGUUCUGGAGGCUGGAAAGUCCAGAAGCACAGCACUAGGGUCUCCCCAGAGUCCAGUGAGGGCCUCUUACUGCAUACAACACGUGGUGAGGCAGAGCAGCCUCGAGUGGCGUUUCUCUUCCUCUUCUUACAAAGCCACUCAUGCACUGUGGGCUCCUUCUUCUCCUGGUGGCAGCUAAUAUAAUCCUCCAAACACCUUAACAUAUGGAUUUGAGGACUAAGUUUCCAACACACGAGCUCAGCCAUGGUGACCCCCUUCCACCUCCACAAACUUGACCUGAGAGGCUUCCAUGGCUCAGACCCGGAAGGGAAGCAGACAAGAGAUCCAGCAGUGAGCAGGGCGGGAGGACAAGGAGAGGCUUUGAGGCCCUCUGGGAGGAUCCUGAAGCGGUGCCUAGGACACCCAGGUGUGGGGCAGGUGCCUCGGGCUCCUAGUUACCCCUCACACCAGGGCUGUGCCAGGGGCACCUUCUGAGGACAGCUGGCUUUCUGGGUCGACUUCCCUGGAGAAAGGGUGUGGAUGGGCGUGGCUCGGGCCGAGGGGCUAAGCCAGAUCGCUGGGGUUUAUGCCCAGGGUGUGGUGUGAGCCAUUCAUGACUGGGAGGCUUCUAACCAUUUCUAGACCUACACGUGGAAAGCCAGCCCCGGGAAAGGCCUGACCGCCAUGGG
rnacentral:lncRNA from 1 species